UUCCAGCUCCCUGCCCCACAUCCACCCACUCUCCUCGGACCUCAGUUGGAGCUGGACCCCGACCCUAAGCAUGACAUAUUUGCACAGAUGGAAAAGCUGAGACACAGAGAAGUUCCUUGAGUUGCCUGAGAUCACAGAGCAGCAGGGCCAGGACCCGGUCCCAGGAAGUUCCACUGCAGGCCCGGCUCUAACCCUCAUCACUGUGGUGGUGGCCUUCAGUUUGAGUUGGGUCAGAAUGAUCAGGUCAUCAUUUUAUAAACCAGAGAAGAAAAUCGUUUCCAUUAAUGCUGAAUAUUGGUGCCACUGAAGUUAUAAUACCCUGUUGCUGAUGCCACUGUAGAAGGCUAUGUUGUUAACUUUUUAAAAAAGUGCAUUUAUUGCUUGUAUUUUGCUGUAUCCAAAUAAAAUUAUUUGUG
rnacentral:lncRNA from 1 species